rnacentral:rRNA from 1 species
UACGUAGGGUGCGAGCGUUAAUCGGAAUUACUGGGCGUAAAGUGUGCGCAGGUGGCCGCGCAAGUCGAGUGUGAAAGCCCCGGGCUUAACUUGGGAAUUGCGCUCGAAACUACGUGGCUAGAGUGUGGCAGAGGGAGGUGGAAUUCCACGUGUAGCGGUGAAAUGCGUAGAUAUCUGGAGGAACAUCGGUGGCGAAGGCGGCAUCCUGGACCGGUAUUGACGCUGAGGCGCGAAAGCCAGGGGAGCAAACGGG